rnacentral:rRNA from 1 species
GACAGAGGAGGCAAGCGUUGUCCGGACUGACUGGGCGUAAAGCGUCCGCAGGUGGUCGUGCAAGUGCGCUGUGAAAGCGGCCCGCUCAACGGGCCGAGGCCAGCGCAGACUGCGCGACUCGAGGUCGGGAGAGGUCGGUGGAAUUGCCGGUGUAGUGGUGAAAUGCGUGAGAGAUCGGCAGGAACACCCAAGGGGAAGCCAGCCGACUGGCCCGCACCUGACACUCAGGGACGACAGCGUGGGGGAGCGAACCGG